rnacentral:rRNA from 1 species
CCCUUAGAUGUUCUGGGCCGCACGCGCGCUACACUGACGAAUGCAACGAGCUUAUAACCUUGGCCGAAAGGUCUGGGUAAUCUCCAAAUUUCGUCGUGAUGGGGAUAGAUUAUUGCAAUUAUUAAUCUUCAACGAGGAAUGCCUAGUAAGCGCAAGUCAUCAGCUUGCGUUGAUUACGUCCCUGCCCGUUGUACACACCGCCCGUCGCUCCUACCGAUUGAAUGGUCCGGUGAAGCGUUCGGACCGUGGCCUUUGGACGGUUCGCCGUCUGUUGGCUGCGGGAAGUUCGUUAAACCUUAUCAUUUAGAGGAAGGAGAANUCGUANCA